rnacentral:rRNA from 1 species
AUGAACGCGGGCGGGCGCCGGCGCUACACCUCGGAGCAGCUCCUCUUCGACGUCCCCACCAAUGCCGCGACGGCUGGCGGUGCCGGCAGGUGGACCCAGCGCGGCGGGCUGCGCCGUGGGGACGGGGAGAUCUUCGUGUCGGUGGACCCGGCGACGCCGGCACGGCUGCGCGGAGGGGACGCGGCGGCUGGGGAGUCUCCGGGGCAGAGGCACCAGCUCAGCCCCGGGCUGCUCGACCUCCAUGCCUUUGAUACCGAGCUUAUCCCCGAUUUUCAAGUACAAGGAAUGUAUGAUGGUGCUGAAAAGUUUGGUUAUACCAAUGGAGAAGGCUUUGAAGAUUCGGAUAUGAGCUUUGGUACAGACAAGCAGAUGAGCAAGUCCGCUGUUUUUGCUGAAAGUAACUACCUCAAGGCCUUCCCUGAGAAAGAGAAGGCAGCCCCUGUUGCCAAAAUCAAAGUGGUGGUGCGCAAAAGACCUCUGAACAAGAAGGAGAUAUCAAAGAAAGAAGAAGAUAUCAUAGACAUUGAACAAAAUUCUUUGACUGUCCAUGAGACUAAACUUAAGGUUGACCUCACUGAGUAUGUCGAAAAGCAUGGAUUUGUGUUCGAUGCUGUUUUGGAUGAGGACGUUUCAAAUGAUGAGGUUUAUCGUGAAACAGUGGAACCGGUGGUUCCUGCUAUUUUCAAUCGUACAAAGGCAACUUGUUUUGCAUACGGACAAACCGGUAGUGGAAAAACCUACACCAUGAGACCACUUCCUCUAAAGGCCUCCCAGGACAUUUUGAGACUAAUGCACCAUACAUAUCGGAAUCAGGGGUUUCAGUUAUUUUUUAGUUUCUUUGAGAUCUACGGAGGGAAAUUGUAUGAUCUGCUUAAUGAAAGGAGUAAACUUUGCAUGAGAGAAGAUGGAAAACAGAAAGUUUGCAUUGUUGGUUUACAAGAGUACAGGGUGUCUGAUCUUGAAACUAUCAAGGAGUUGAUUGAGAGAGGUAAUGCCACCAGAAGUACUGGUACAACUGGUGCAAACGAGGAGUCGUCACGAUCUCAUGCCAUUCUUCAGCUUGCCAUCAAACGGCGUGUUGAUGGCAAUGAGUCUAAGCCACCCAGAUUGGCCGGCAAGUUGUCGUUUAUUGACCUGGCUGGCAGUGAGCGUGGUGCUGAUACAAAUGAAAAUGAUAAACAAACAAGAAUUGAGGGUGCUGAGAUCAAUAAAAGUUUGCUUGCUUUAAAGGAAUGCAUCAGAGCACUUGAUAAUGAUCAGAAUCAUAUUCCCUUCCGUGGUAGCAAGCUGACUGAAGUUUUGCGAGAUUCAUUCAUUGGAGACUCGCGCACUGUCAUGAUAUCAUGCAUUUCCCCUAGUUCUGGCUCUUGUGAACAUACACUGAACACAUUGAGAUAUGCUGAUAGAGUGAAGAGUCUGUCAAAAGGAAGCAACAGCAAGAAAGAUGUGCCUUUGGCCGCUGCACCUUUACGAGAAUCGAGUCCUUCCCCAUUGGCUUCGGUUGUACCCUCUUUCUCUGCAGCUGAGGUAAUGAAUGAUAUCACUGAAAGGAGUAAGUUUGGUUGGCCCAAGCAGCAGUAUGCCAAAGAACAGCCAUCACCAUCGUUUGUGGAUAGAAUACCCAAGGGCAGGGAAGAUACUGAGUUCAGUUCGGCGAAUAGUGGUUAUUUCAAUGAACAAAGAAGCAGAGUUACUGCAGCAACAGGCAUAGCCGUGGUACCAGAUACAAUGUACCAGCAGGGAAGGCAACAGGCACGGAAGGGUAGAGAUCCAGGUUCGGAGAAUAAUAUGAGAAAUUCUGUUGCUUACCCAAUUAGAAGGGCUGUGCCAGACGAAAAUGACCAUCUGAAUGACCUCCUUCAGGAAGAGGAAGAUUUAGUGAGUGCUCACAGAAAGCAGGUGGAAGAGACCCUGGACAUGAUUAAAGAGGAGAUGAACUUGCUAGUUGAAGCAGAUCAGCCUGGCAACCAACUAGACGACUACGUUACAAGACUAAGCGGCAUCCUCUCACAGAAAGCUGCUGGAAUUGUGGAUUUACAAGAUCGUCUGGCACAGUUCCAGAGGCGCUUAAACGAGAAUAGCGUGCUGCUAUAUUCCGAGUGCCCUUGA